AGAGUUUGAUCCUGGCUCAGGAUGAACGCUGGCGGCAUGCCUAAUACAUGCAAGUCGAACGAGGGUCCUUCGGGACUCGAGUGGCGAACGGGUGAGUAACACGUAGGGAACCUGCCCGUGCGACCGGGAGAACUUUCGGAAACGGAAGCUGAUACCGGAUAGGGACAGAGACGGCAUCGACUCUGUGUUAAAGGAGCUGAAAGGCUCCGCGCACGGAUGGACCUGCGGUGCAUUAGCUGGUUGGUGAGGUAACGGCCCACCAAGGCGACGAUGCAUAGCCGGCCUGAGAGGGCGGACGGCCACACUGGGACUGAGACACGGCCCAGACUCCUACGGGAGGCAGCAGUAGGGAAUUUUCGUCAAUGGGCGCAAGCCUGAACGAGCAAUGCCGCGUGAACGAGGAAGGUCUUCGGAUCGUAAAGUUCUGUUGAAGGGGAAAAAGAGCGGAGAGAGGAAAUGCCUUCUGAUUGAUAUUACCCUUCGAGGAAGUCACGGCUAACUACGUGCCAGCAGCCGCGGUAAUACGUAGGUGGCGAGCGUUAUCCGGAAUGAUUGGGCGUAAAGGGUGCGUAGGCGGCCUGCUAAGUCUGGAGUGAAAGGUACCGGCUCAACCGGUACAGGCUCUGGAAACUGGCGGGCUAGAGAGCAGGAGAGGGCGGUGGAACUCCAUGUGUAGCGGUAAAAUGCGUAGAUAUAUGGAAGAACACCAGUGGCGAAGGCGGCCGCCUGGCCUGUUACUGACGCUGAGGCACGAAAGCGUGGGGAGCAAAUAGGAUUAGAUACCCUAGUAGUUCACGCCGUUAACGAUGAGGACCAAGUGUUGGGGAAGACCCAGUGCUGCAGUUAACGCAGUGAGUCCUCCGCCUGGGGAGUAUGCACGCAAGUGUGAAACUCAAAGGAAUUGACGGGGGCCCGCACAAGCGGUGGAGUAUGUGGUUUAAUUCGAAGCAACGUGAAGAACCUUACCAGGCCUUGACGUAGGGUGCGAAGCUAUGGAGACAUAGUGGAGGUAAACAUCCAUACAGGUGGUGCAUGGUUGUCGUCAGCUCGUGUCGUGAGAUGUUCAGUUAAGUCUGGCAACGAGCGCAACCCUCGUGAUGUGUUACCAAUAUCGAGUUAGGGACUCACAUCAGACUGCCGGUGAGAAACCGGAGGAAGGCGGGGAGGACGUCAAAUCAUCAUGCCCCUUAUGGCCUGGGCUACACACGUACUACAAUGGCGGCGACAGAGGGCAGCGAGCCUGCGAAGGCAAGCGAAUCCCCAAAAAGCCGUCCCAGUUCGGAUUGGAGUCUGCAACCCGACUCCAUGAAGUUGGAAUCGCUAGUAAUCGCGGAUCAGCAUGCCGCGGUGAAUACGUUCUCGGGCCUUGCACACACCGCCCGUC
rnacentral:rRNA from 1 species